rnacentral:rRNA from 1 species
AACCUCCGCAAUGUGAGAAAUCGCGACGGGGGGAUCCCAAGUGCCAUUCUUAACGGGAUGGCUUUUCAUUAGUGUAAAGAGCUUUUGGAAUAAGAGCUGGGCAAGACCGGUGCCAGCCGCCGCGGUAACACCGGCAGCUCUAGUGGUAACAAUUUUUAUUGGGCCUAAAGCGUCCGUAGCCGGUUUAAUAAGUCUCUGGUGAAAUCCUGUAGCUUAACUGUGGGAAUUGCUGGAGAUACUAUUAGACUUGAGACCGGGAGAGGUUAGAGGUACUCCCAGGGUAGAGGUGAAAUUCUGUAAUCCUGGGAGGACCGCCUGUUGCGAAGGCGUCUAACUGGAACGGUUCUGACGGUGAGGGACGAAAGUUAGGGGCGCGAACCGGAUUAGAUACCCGGGUAGUCCUAACUGUAAACGAUGCGGACUUGGUGUUGGGGUGGCUUUGAGCUGCUCCAGUGCCGAAGGAAGCUGUUAAGUCCGCCGCCUGGGAAGUACGGUCGCAAGACUGAAACUUAAAGGAAUU